rnacentral:rRNA from 1 species
CGGAGGGAUCAUUACCAGAGUGCCCUAGGCUCUCCAACCCAUUGUGAACUUACCAAACGUUCCCUCGGCGGGCUCAGCGCGCGGCGGCCUCCGGGCCUCCGGGCGUCCGCCGGGGAAAACCAAACCCUGAUUUAAUCGUAUUUCUCUGAGGGGCGAAAGCCCGAAAACAAAAUGAAUCAAAACUUUCAACAACGGAUCUCUUGGCUCUGGCAUCGAUGAAGAACGCAGCGAAAUGCGAUAAGUAAUGUGAAUUGCAGAAUUCAGUGAAUCAUCGAAUCUUUGAACGCACAUUGCGCCCGCCGGCACUCCGGCGGGCAUGCCUGUCCGAGCGUCAUUUCAACCCUCAGGCCCACCCUUCCGGGGGAGCGGGCCUGGUGCUGGGGAUCGGCGGCCCUCGCGGCCCCCGUCCCUCAAAUUCAGUGGCGGUCGCGCCGCAGCCUCCCCUGCGUAGUAGCACAACCUCGCACCGGAGAGCGGAACGACCACGCCGUGAAACCCCCAAUUUUUCAAGGUUGACCUCGGAUCAGGUAGGAAUACCCGCUGAACUUAAGCAUAUCAAUAAGCGGAGGAA